GUGGCGAACGGGUGAGUAACACGUGGGCAAUCUGCCCUUCACUCUGGGACAAGCCCUGGAAACGGGGUCUAAUACCGGAUACGAGGUUCGGAGGCAUCUUCGAACUUGGAAAGCUCCGGCGGUGAAGGAUGAGCCCGCGGCCUAUCAGCUUGUUGGUGAGGUAGUGGCUCACCAAGGCGACGACGGGUAGCCGGCCUGAGAGGGCGACCGGCCACACUGGGACUGAGACACGGCCCAGACUCCUACGGGAGGCAGCAGUGGGGAAUAUUGCACAAUGGGCGAAAGCCUGAUGCAGCGACGCCGCGUGAGGGAUGACGGCCUUCGGGUUGUAAACCUCUUUCAGCAGGGAAGAAGCGAAAGUGACGGUACCUGCAGAAGAAGCGCCGGCUAACUACGUGCCAGCAGCCGCGGUAAUACGUAGGGCGCAAGCGUUGUCCGGAAUUAUUGGGCGUAAAGAGCUCGUAGGCGGCUUGUCACGUCGAUUGUGAAAGCCCGAGGCUUAACCUCGGGUCUGCAGUCGAUACGGGCUAGCUAGAGUGUGGUAG
rnacentral:rRNA from 1 species